rnacentral:rRNA from 1 species
CCUACGGGUGGCUGCAGUGGGGAAUUUUGGACAAUGGGCGAAAGCCUGAUCCAGCCAUGCCGCGUGAGUGAAGAAGGCCUUCGGGUUGUAAAGCUCUUUCGGCGGGGAAGAAAUCGCAUGGGUUAAUACCCUGUGUGGAUGACGGUACCCGAAUAAGAAGCACCGGCUAACUACGUGCCAGCAGCCGCGGUAAUACGUAGGGUGCGAGCGGGAAUCGGAAUUACUGGGCGCGAAGCGUGCGCAGGCGGGUGAAAUCCCCGGGCUCAACCUGGGAACUGCAUUUGAGACUGCAAGGCUAGAGUGUGGCAGAGGGGGGUGGAAUUCCACGUGUAGCAGUGAAAUGCGUAGAGAUGUGGAGGAACACCGAUGGCGAAGGCAACCCCCUGGGCCAAUACUGACGCUCAUGCACGAAAGCGUGGGGAGCAAACAGGAUUAGAUACCCCAGUAGUC